rnacentral:rRNA from 1 species
UACGUAGGGUGCGAGCGUUGUCCGGAAUUAUUGGGCGUAAAGGGCGCGUAGGCGGCAUGUUAAGUCGGCUGUGAAAGCCUGGGGCUCAACCCCAGAGGGUCGGCCGAUACUGGCAAGCUAGAGUACGGAAGAGGUAGCUGGAAUUCCCGGUGUAGCGGUGAAAUGCGUAGAUAUCUGGAGGAACACCGGUGGCGAAGGCGGCAUUCUGGACCGAUAUUGACGCUGAGGAGCGAAAGCCAGGGGAGCAAACGGG